rnacentral:rRNA from 1 species
CUGAGCUAAUCAUGCCAGUGGACCUGCGGAGCCCUUUGGGGGGUAACGGGUGCUUUUAUUAGACCAAGAUCGAUCGGGUUUCGGCCCGUAUUGUGUGGUGACUCUGGAUAACUUUGUGCUGAUCGCAUGGCCACGAGCCGGCGACGUUUCUUUCAAGUGUCUGCCUUAUCAACUUUCGAUGGUAGGUUACUUGCUUACCAUGGUUGUUACGGGUAACGGAGAAUCAGGGUUCGAUUCCGGAGAGGGAGCCUGAGAAACGGCUACCACAUCCAAGGAAGGCAGCAGGCGCGCAAAUUACCCACUCCCGGCACGGGGAGGUAGUGACGAAAAAUAACAAUACGGGACUCUUUUGAGGCCCCGUAAUUGAAAUGAGUACACUCUACAGAAAUCCUUUAACGAGGAUCAAUUGGAGGGCAAGUCUGGUGCCAGCAGCCGCGGUAAUUCCAGCUCCAAUAGCGUAUACUAAAGCUGCUGCGGUUAAAAAGCUCGUAGUUGGAUCUCAGUUCCAGACGAGUAGUGCAUCCACCCGAUGCGACGGCUCUCGGGGACUGAACAUCAUGCCGGUUCUUUCUUGGUGCACUUCAUUGUGUGCCUCGAGAUGGCCGGUGCUUUUACUUUGAAAAAAUUAGAGUGCUCAACGCAGGCGAGUCGCCUGAAUAAACUUGCAUGGAAUAAUAGAACAAGACCUCGUUUCUGUUCUGUUGGUUUUUGGAAUACGAGGUAAUGAUUAAGAGGGACGGAGGGACGGCGGGGGCAUUCGUAUUGCGGCGCUAGAGGUGAAAUUCUUGGACCGUCGCAAGACGAACUACUGCGAAAGCAUUUGCCAAGAAUGUUUUCAUUGAUCAAGAACGAAAGUCAGAGGUUCGAAGGCGAUCAGAUACCGCCCUAGUUCUGACCAUAAACGAUGCCAACCAGCGAUCCGCCUGAGUUACUCAAAUGACUCGGCGGGCAGCUUCCGGGAAACCAAAGUAUUUGGGUUCCGGGGGAAGUAUGGUUGCAAAGCUGAAACUUAAAGGAAUUGACGGAAGGGCACCACCAGGAGUGGAGCCUGCGGCUUAAUUUGACUCAACACGGGAAAACUUACCCGGCCCGUCCCUCUUAAUCAUUACCUCGUAUUCCAAAAACCAACAGAACAGAAACGAGGUCUUGUUCUAUUAUUCCAUGCAAGUUUAUUCAGGCGACUCGCCUGCGUUGAGCACUCUAAUUUUUUCAAAGUAAAAGCACCGGCCAUCUCGAGGCACACAAUGAAGUGAAGUGCACCAAGAAAGAACCGGCAUGAUGUUCAGUCCGAGCCGUCGCAUCGGGUAGAUGCACUACUCGUCUGGAACUGAGAUCCAACUACGAGCUUUUUAACCGCAGCAGCUUUAGUAUACGCUAUUGGAGCUGGAAUUACCGCGGCUGCUGGCACCAGACUUGCCCUCCAAUUGAUCCUCGUUAAAGGAUUUAGAGUGUACUCAUUUCAAUUACGGGGCCUCAAAAG